CCUGUUCGAGCGUCAUUAUAACCACUCAAGCCUCGGCUUGGUCUUGGGGUUCGCGUUCCGCGGCCCUUAAAAUCAGUGGCGGUGCGUCUGGCUCUAAGCGUAGUAAUUCUCUCGCUAUAGGGUCCCGACGGCUACCUGUCAAAACCCCCUCAUUUUUUACGGUUGACCUCGGAUCAGGUAGGGAUACCCGCUGAACUUAA
rnacentral:misc_RNA from 1 species